CCCGCAUUUCUUUCUUUAAUUCAGGAUCGGAAUAUUUGCCGAGAGCGAUUCUAUUAUGUAUAGUAGAUCUAAUAUCAGAUGGGAAAGAGAGAGCGAGGAGCUCCAAUCUUCUUCGUUUCAGCCCUCCUCCCAGCUGCUGGACGAGUGAUUUAUACAAUGGGAUAACAUGCAGAGAGAGAGAUGGAUGGUGAUUCCGCCGAAAAAACCGGGACUCUAUAAUAACAACACAACAGCUAGACCGUGCGCGUGAAAUACAGCAAACGACAAUAGGACGUCAUCAGAGCUGUGAAGAGCGUCAGGAUCGAACCCAUCGCCCACCUUCCAGAGUUGACUGUAAAUUUUUUAAAAAUCAUUUGAAUGAGUCAGCGAUUGAAGAGUUUCGGCGCUGGCGACGUGGCGGCUGCGGAAUAUUCGCUCGCCGUGCUGGUGGCUGUCGGAUGCGAUCCGCCUCUGGAACUGGUGCGCCGAUUCCGCCACGGCGUUGCUUCCGCCGUUGGAGUAGGUGGACGAAGAUGACAGGGUGGACCAGUAGGUGACGGAAGACAUGGACGGUGCGGCCGCUGCCUUUUGAGUCGAGUAAGGGAUGGCGGCCUCGCACGUCACCGUCGCCGUGUUGCUGCUGGAACUGCCCUUGGUGGAUCCUGACGACUUGCCGGAACGCGGGAAAUGAUCGCGCGACUGCAGUUCCAGAACGGAGAAACUCGUCUCCAAUCCGGACGACGUCCGGCUGACGCUGGUCUCCUGGAUCAGUUCCGGAUUGACUGGCACGUUGUUGAUGAGCCACCGGAUCUGGGCGGCCGGCCGUGAGGGAUCCGUCGUGCAGUUGAGUUCCACCGUUCCGUCUUGCUCGUUGAUGACGUAGCCGCCAAAGAUUUCCGGUUUUUUCUUUGGUAAAAUGACGACCGACAGAGCCGCACCUCCCGAAACGGAUCGAAAGGCCGGCCCUUCGCCCGAGGCCUCGCAUCGGAAGAAUCCCGCCGUUGCUGGAGUCACCGAGCGCAGAACCACCGCCUCUCUGACCGACCGUUCCCUCUGUCCCAAAAACAGAAAACGAGAGCAGCAGCUAAUAAGUAUUUGAUGAUUUGAAACGCCCUUGGGAGCAAAAGAGCCGAGUCCGCCAUGUUGCUUCCAUGUUUCACAUUUAAUUGGGAAUCGGAAAUCCAUUCCGGCUGACUCGGCAGUCAUCAACUGCGGACGUCAAAAAUUCGUCGAUACAAUUGACGAAAUAUUUUGGUUGUUUUCCUCUUUUUUUUCUGGUUUGGUUCUACUAUUUUUUUUUCGUUACGUUGCCAUGACGAACUGGACAGAUCCUGCAUCAUGGAUGCAGUUGUGCCCUCCUUUCUCUUGAUGGAAAAUUGACUUUUCUUUUUUUCCUUCUUAUCUGUGUACAGCUUUUUACUCAUUCACCGAUUCUUUCAACGAAAAAGACCGUCAUCGCUGGAUUGUAUUGAUUACAAGACGAUGUACAUGCCUCGGGCAGGAGGAUAUUAUUCAUCAUUGAGAUCCUCACUAGAUCAGAUGGACCUGGAUGUACGUUUUUCACUUCCUACUUUUUCUCGAUAGCGCCUAGAAUUUCCCAGUGAAUAAGAGAUAUAGUUACUCCUGUCCAUUGUUUGCAUCCAUUAGCCUCGGCACGUUCCACAUGGAUACCAUAGGGGGGGGUCACGGCGUCCUACUCUGGCACUAAUCGGAACAGGAACGUGAGAGAGUCUUUCGUACUUAUUCUCUUGUUUCACGCCCUCCCUUUUUUUUUGUCUCUCUCUCUUGCGGGGCGUGGUGAUGGCUGUAAUCCAGCGCGGAUUUCUUGGGCGACAUAAUAAGAAUUAUAACCCACUCUGGAUCGUCCCAUAGAGAAACUGCUUCUAGAUCAUCGAGUGCAACUGCCAUGUAAAGAUUUUCGGCUAUAGGAGAUUGAUUUUGUUUCAUGUAGUUUGUGCCAUUCCAGUUGGAAACAGACAACUGGCCCACACGUAUUGCUACAUGAUGUUAUACGGAGCUGGGCACAAAAAGUCGUUGGAAAGCCAAACAAGUGGUUUUGACACUUGAUGAGCUGGCCCAGCAGUUUCUUAUGUAUACGUUGCAUCCAUUCUGCUCCCGAUUUCUCUGAACAAAUUUCCCCUUUUUUUUCAUCAACCCGUUUUUUUUUUCUUGUUGGCCUUUUGUUUCCUCUUUUCUUUUUGAACUCUGACGUCGUUCGUUUUUAAAUUUCAAUGCAGACGCUGACAAGAGAAAAUAAAAAGGAGGCAAAAGUUCAAAAAGGAAAGAAAAAUAAAAAUAAAAAAUCGUCGGUUCGGUGGGGUUGGCCAAUUUGAAUGUCUCCGGUCCGUCGGGACACAAUCGUGUAGCGACUGGGUGCCGGCACGGCGGUGCUGCACUGCAGUAGAGCGGCAAUCAGCCGCGCUCUUGUGUUGAUGAACAUUAGCGAAGCGCGUUUCCUCUUUCCAUCUAACCUCCUCCUUCUUUUUCUUUGCUCUUCUUGAACAGCCCGCAAAUAAAAAAGGCUUUCAUCAGUUAUUCAACAUCAGUUCAGCUGCUCCCUAUUAUUGUGUACGGAAAACCUCCAAUAAAAACGUUCGAGUUAAA
rnacentral:lncRNA from 1 species